UACGUAGGGCGCAAGCGUUGUCCGGAAUUAUUGGGCGUAAAGAGCUCGUAGGCGGCCUGUUGCGUCCGCUGUGAAAUCCCGGGGCUCAACCCCGGGCCCGCAGUGGAUACGGGCUGGCUAGAGGCAGGCAGGGGAGAACGGAAUUCCUGGUGUAGCGGUGAAAUGCGCAGAUAUCAGGAGGAACACCGGUGGCGAAGGCGGUUCUCUGGGCCUGUACUGACGCUGAGGAGCGAAAGCGUGGGGAGCAAACAGG
rnacentral:rRNA from 1 species